GACGAACGCUGGCGGCGUGCUUAACACAUGCAAGUCGAACGGUAAGGCCUUUCGGGGUACCCGAGUGGCGAACGGGUGAGUAACACGUGGGUGAUCUGCCCUGCACUUCGGGAUAAGCCCGGGAAACUGGGUCUAAUACCGGAUAGGACUGCGCGGUGCAUGCCGUGUGGUGGAAAGAUUUAUCGGUGCAGGAUGGGCCCGCGGCCUAUCAGCUUGUUGGUGGGGUAAUGGCCUACCAAGGCGACGACGGGUAGCCGGCCUGAGAGGGCGACCGGCCACACUGGGACUGAGACACGGCCCAGACUCCUACGGGAGGCAGCAGUGGGGAAUAUUGCACAAUGGGCGCAAGCCUGAUGCAGCGACGCCGCGUGAGGGAUGACGGCCUUCGGGUUGUAAACCUCUUUCAGCAGGGACGAAGCGUGAGUGAUGGUACCUGCAGAAGAAGCACCGGCCAACUACGUG
rnacentral:rRNA from 1 species